UACGUAGGGGUGCGAGCGUUAAUCGGAAUUGCUAGGGCGUAACGUGCGCAGGCGGUCUGUUAAGAACCGAUGUGAAAUCCCCGGGCUUAACCUGGGAACUGCAUUGGUGACUGGCAGGCUUUGAGUGUGGCAGAGGGAGGUAGAAUUCCACGUGUAGCAGUGAAAUGCGUAGAGAUGUGGAGGAAUACCGAUGGACGAAGGCAGCCUCCUGGGCCAACACUGACGCUCAUGCACGAAAGCGUGGGGAGCAAACAGG
rnacentral:rRNA from 1 species